rnacentral:rRNA from 1 species
AGUGAACGCUGGCGGUAGGCCUAACACAUGCAAGUCGAACGGCAGCACAGUAAGAGCUUGCUCUUACGGGUGGCGAGUGGCGGACGGGUGAGGAAUACAUCGGAAUCUACUUUUUCGUGGGGGAUAACGUAGGGAAACUUACGCUAAUACCGCAUACGACCUACGGGUGAAAGCAGGGGAUCUUCGGACCUUGCGCGAUUGAAUGAGCCGAUGUCGGAUUAGCUAGUUGGCGGGGUAAAGGCCCACCAAGGCGACGAUCCGUAGCUGGUCUGAGAGGAUGAUCAGCCACACUGUAACUGAGACACGGUCCAGACUCUGACGGGAGGCAGCAGUGGGGAAUAUUGGACAAUGGGGGCAAGCCUGAUCCAGCCAUACCGCGUGGGUGAAGAAGGCCUUCGGGUUGUAAAGCCCUGUUGUUGGGAAAGAAAAGCAGCAGGUUAAUACCCCGCUGUUCUGACGGUACCCAAAGAAUAAGCACCGGCUAACUUCGUG